AGCUGAAGGUCUGACCGUGACAUCUGUCACCCCACUGACGGCCAGGGUCGAUCUGGCCGAUCUGCCUAGCCAGGUGUCCCCUUCCAUCCUCACCGCUCCACGUGUCUUACUCUUGCAUGCGCUGCCAAAGAAGAUGACUUUCCUGGAUACAAGAGAACCAUGCUUUGGUCACGGUAUAAUGGUUGCUGUGUUCUCUGGUAGAACCUCCAAACACAACAUCCUAGCUGGGUGUAGUGACUCAAGCCUAUAAUCCCAACUCUUUGGGAAGCUGAGGUGAGAG
rnacentral:snRNA from 1 species